AUUUAUAAUUGAAAUCUAGAAUGAAUGGUUUAAUGAAACAAAAUCUUUUUUAAUUUAAAUAAUUGAAUUUUUUUUUUUAGUUAAAAAACUAAAAUAUUUUUAUGGGACGAGAAGACCCUAUAGAAUUUUAUAUUUAUUAAAUUAAAUAAUAAUUUAUAAAUUAAUUAUAAUAUUUUACAAUAUUUUAUUGGGGCGAUAAAUAAAUUUAGUUAACUUUAAUUUUUUUAUCAAUAAUUUUUGUUAAAUUGAUCUUUUUUUAUUGAUUAAAAAUUUAAAUUACCUUAGGGAUAACAGCAUAAUUUUAUUAAGAAGUUCUUAUUUUUAAUAUUGUUUAU
rnacentral:rRNA from 1 species